rnacentral:rRNA from 1 species
GUGGUGAGUAACGCGUAGCCAACCUACCCCCUUGACGGAGAUAACUACCUGAAAGGGUAGCUAAUACCCGAUAUUGCUCGAGAUCGAAAGAUCUUGAGCCAAAGGCGGUCUUGCCGUCGCAAGAGGAGGGGGCUGCGUCCUAUUAGCUUGUUGGUGGGGUAAUGGCCCACCAAGGCGAUGAUGGGUAGCUGGUCUGAGAGGAUGGCCAGCCACAUUGGGUCUGAGAUACGGCCCAGACUCCUACGGGAGGCAGCAGUGGGGAAUCUUUCGCAAUGGGCGAAAGCCUGACGGAGCGACACCGCGUGGGGGAUGAAGGCUUUCGGGUUGUAAACCUCUUUUCUGGGGGAAGAAUAAGGGCGGGAGGAAAUGCCCGUCCGAUGACGGUACCCCAGGAAUAAGCAUCGGCUAACUUCGUGCCAGCAGCCGCGGUAAGACGAAGGAUGCAAGCGUUAUCCGGAAUUACUGGGCGUAAAGGGCGUCUAGGCGGCUGAGUAAGUCACCCGUGAAAGCCCUCAGCUCAACUGAGGAAUGUCGAGUGAAACUGCUCAGCUUGGGUGCAGGAGAGGAGGGUGGAACUCACAGAGUAGCGGUGGAAUGCGUAGAUACUGUGAGGUACCCCGAUGGCGAAGGCAACCCUCUGGCCUGCUACCGACGCUGAAGCGCGAAAGCGUGGGGAGCAAAGGGGAUUAGAUACCCCCGUAGUCCACGCCUCAAACGAUGUUCACUGGGUGUCGGUCGCUAAUACAGAUCGGCGCCGGAGCUAACGCGUUAAGUGGACCGCCUCCGAGUACGGCCGCAAGGCUAAUACUCAAGAGAAUUGACGGGGCCCCGCACAAGCGGUGGAGCACGUGGUUUAAUUCGAUGAUAAGCGAAGAACCUCACCUGGGUUUGACAUGCUAGUGGUAGGAACCGGAAACGGGGACGACCCUCGCCUUCGGGCAAGGGAGCUAGUACAGGUGAUGCAUGGCUGUCGUCAGUUCGUGUCGUGGGACGUUGGGUUAAGUCCCGAAACGAGCGCAACCCCUGUCGUCAGUUGCCAGCGGGUAAAGCCGGGGACUCUGACGAGACUGCCGGUGAAUAGCCGGAGGAAGGAGGGGAUGACGUCAAGUCAUCAUGUCCCUUAUGCCCAGGGCGACACACAUGCUACAAUGGGGGGUACAAAGGGCUGCAAUGCCGUAAGGCUGAGCCAAUCCCAAAAAACCUUCCUCAGUUCGGAUUGAGGUCUGUAACUCGACCUCAUGAAGCCGGAAUCGCUAGUAAUCGCAGGUCAGCCACACUGCGGUGAAUAUGUACUCGGGGCCUGUACACACCCCCCGUCACCCCAACCGAGUGGGGGGUACUUUUUGUCGCUCUUUAUAGAGCGCCAAGGGUAACCUCUGC